UCUUAUAUGAUUUGCUAGAUUCGAUUUGUUCUAUUUCCACAUUGAUUCAAGCCUCGCCCUCUCGGAUCUAUUACCGUCUCGCCAGUUGUCAGCUGACUGGUAGCUGGCAACAACGUAGCACAUCAUGUUCGCGACGCUGAAGUUUGCAGCGUUGUUGCUCGCGCUUGUUGUCUGCCGGGCAGCGCAAGAUUAUGAUUAUAAUGACGCUGAAAUGGACGAGGAGCCUACUGAUUCUCAGUAUGGAUCUCUUUGGCCGUUGCCUCAGAAAGUCCAAAUAUCCACGGUAGUAUUCAAACUCAGCGGUGCUAGCUUCCAUAUAAUCGACGCUAAAGAAUCGUCUUCUGGUGCAAGCUGCAUACUUCUUCAAAAUGCAUAUAGAAGGUAUGAUGAGUACAUCUUUACCAGUUCCAGAAAGCAAGGGCAAAACAAGAGCAAGAAGGCAUUGGCCUCUGACAUAUCUGAAUUACAGGUGUGGAUCACGUCAGCUGACUCGGAGUGUGACAGCUACCCCAGUGUGACAUCUGACGAAUCAUACGAACUGUCAGUGGACUCUCCUGUUGCUGUGCUGAAAGCACCUAAGGUGUGGGGAGCUCUAAGAGGUCUGGAGACUUUUAGCCAGUUGGUGUAUAAGGAUGAAUAUGGAGCAAAAAGCAUCAAUAGGACAGACAUUCACGACUUCCCACGGUUUGCACAUCGAGGCCUCUUAUUGGACACCUCUCGUCACUUCCUGCCCAUCAAAGUCAUCUUAGCCAAUCUGGAAGCCAUGGCGUGGAACAAAUUCAAUGUUUUCCACUGGCACAUAGUAGAUGACCCCUCCUUCCCCUACCUGAGCCGUACCUUCCCCCAGCUGAGUCAACAGGGAGCAUACCACCCAUACACACAUGUGUACACGCCUUCUGAUGUGAAGAUGAUAAUCGAGUUUGCUCGCCUCAGGGGCAUUCGGGUUGUCCCUGAGUUUGACACCCCUGGGCACACUCAGUCAUGGGGCAAAGGGCAGAAGGACCUGCUGACCCCCUGUUACUCUGGAGCCAGCCCCUCUGGUUCGUUCGGACCAGUCAACCCCAUCCUCAACACCACCUAUGACUUUAUGAGCAUGUUCUUCAAGGAAGUCAGCACAGUGUUCCCUGAUGCCUACGUCCAUCUGGGAGGAGACGAGGUCGACUUCAGCUGCUGGAAGUCCAACCCUGACAUCCAGAAGUUCAUGGAGCAGCAAGGCUUUGGGACGGACUACAGCAAGCUGGAAUCAUUCUACAUCCAGAGGCUCUUGGAUAUUGUCACCACUACCAACAAGGGCUACAUGAUCUGGCAGGAGGUAUUUGACAAUGGAGUAAAGUUGAAGUCGGACACGGUAGUGCAUGUGUGGAUGGGGAACAAGGUGGAGGAGGAGCUUCAGAAGGUGACAGAGGCAGGCUUCACCACCAUCCUCUCUGCCCCCUGGUACCUAGACUACAUUAGCUACGGACAGGACUGGCAGAAGUACUACAGGGCCGAGCCGCUGGGCUUCAAGGGCACGGAUACCCAGAAAAAGCUGGUGAUUGGGGGAGAGGCAUGUCUGUGGGGAGAAUAUGUGGAUGCUACCAACCUGACACCUAGACUCUGGCCCCGUGCCAGUGCUGUGGGGGAGCGGUUGUGGAGUGACAGGGAUGUGAGGAACUUAAACGAUGCCUACAGUCGUCUGGCCAAGCACCGCUGUCGCAUGGUCCAGUAUGUCGAGACAUAAAGAUGCAUACUUCUGUUAAUUGCUGUUCUAUUUAAUUCUAUGGUGGCCCCCUGUUAUAGACAGGCGUGGUAUCCCAGCUGAGCCUCUUUUUACAGGUUACUGUGCACAUGAGUACAAAGGGGUAUGAAAAGUGAAGACCACUGUGAUCGUCUUCAUGACUUGAUUGAUGCACUGAUACGAGCCAAAAUUUGUAUUUUUAACAAUGUUUUCCAGAACAAUCCUCAUUCCAUGCAAUGUCACAUUGAUCUUGUUUUUAGAAAGCCAUUUAUUUUAAUAUGAAUGUAUGUUUUAAAUUAAUAAUAAUUACAUUUUAGUCAAUUAGCAGAUGCUCUUACAGCGACUUGCAGUAGUUAGUGCAUACAGUUUCAUACUUUUUUUUUAUACUGGUCCCCCGUGGGAUUCAAACCCACAACCCUGAAAUUGCAAGCACCAUGCUCUACCAACUGAGCCAAACGGGACUUAAUAAUAAUAAACCUUUGCAAGGUAAA